AGUGAACGCUGGCGGUAGGCCUAACACAUGCAAGUCGAACGGCAGCACAGUAAGAGCUUGCUCUUACGGGUGGCGAGUGGCGGACGGGUGAGGAAUACAUCGGCAUCUACUUUUUCGUGGGGGAUAACGUAGGGAAACUUACGCUAAUACCGCAUACGACCUACGGGUGAAAGCAGGGGAUCUUCGGACCUUGCGCGAUUGAAUGAGCCGAUGUCGGAUUAGCUAGUUGGCGGGGUAAAGGCCCACCAAGGCGACGAUCCGUAGCUGGUCUGAGAGGAUGGUCAGCCACACUGGAACUGAGACACGGUCCAGACUCCUACGGGAGGCAGCAGUGGGGAAUAUUGGACAAUGGGCGCAAGCCUGAUCCAGCCAUACCGCGUGGGUGAAGAAGGCCUUCGGGUUGUAAAGCCCUUUUGUUGGGAAAGAAAAGCAGCGGGUUAAUACCCCGCUGUUCUGACGGUACCCAAAGAAUAAGCACCGGCUAACUUCGUG
rnacentral:rRNA from 1 species